UGCUCCGUGGCUCAGUUGGUUAGCGCGUGCGACCGUUAAUCGCGAGGUCGAGGGUUCGAGCCCCUCCGGAGCAA
rnacentral:tRNA from 1 species